rnacentral:rRNA from 1 species
UGGUGCCUACGGGGCGCAGCAGUAGGGAAUCUUCCACAAUGGGCGAAAGCCUGAUGGAGCAACGCCGCGUGGGUGAAGAAGGUCUUCGGAUCGUAAAACCCUGUUGUUAGAGAAGAAAGUGCGUGAGAGUAACUGUUCACGUUUCGACGGUAUCUAACCAGAAAGCCACGGCUAACUACGUGCCAGCAGCCGCGGUAAUACGUAGGUGGCAAGCGUUAUCCGGAUUUAUUGGGCGUAAAGGGAACGCAGGCGGUGUUUUAAGGCUGAUGUGAAAGCCUUCGGCUUAAUCGGAGCAG